GACGAACGCUGGCGGCGUGCCUAAUACAUGCAAGUCGAACGCAGUGGGGACGGGUGAGUAACAAGUGGGUAACCUCCCAUCAGAGGGGAUAACACUUGGAAACAGGUGCUAAACCGAUACUGAUGGAUGGAACCGCGGUUAAUUACCUAGUUGGGGAGGUAACGGCUCACCAAGGACACGAUUCAUAGCCGACCUGAGAGGUUGUGCGGCCACACUGGAACUGAGCCACGGCCCAGACUCCUACGGGAGGCAGCAGUGGGGAAUCUUCGGCAAUGGACGAAAGUCUGACCGAGCAACGCCGCGUGAGUGAAGAAGGUUUUCGGAUCGUAAAACUCUGUUGUUAGAGAAGCGGUAUCUAACCAGAAAGCCACGGCUAACUACGUGCCAGCAGCCGCGGUAAUAC
rnacentral:rRNA from 1 species